UUUAGGUGUUUAUGCUGCCUCAAAGAAAGCAUUUGCUGCUCUUGGGGACCAGUGCAGUAACUGGUUGGAGAAAAUCAUUGCUAUGGGGCUGAUGGUGCUGCUGUUAACUUGGGCAGCAAAGGGGGUGUCAUAGCCCUUCUGCAGCAGGAGGCAGGUGACCACAUUGUGCCAUUCCACUGUAUGCCUCACAGAUUGGAAUUGGCAAUGUUGUCAGUUCAGAGGGACAUUCCAAUGAUCAGGCAGUUGUAUGACCUUCUCCAUUUAAUUUGGAAGAUGUAUCAUUUCAGCCCAAAAUCAAUGAGAGAGCUCAGGGUCAUUGGGGCUGACUUGGGAGUAAAUGUGCUGGUGCCCAGUGGGGUGAAGGGAACAAGGUGGCUCCCACAUGUUUCAAGAGCCCUGGAGACCUUUCUGAAACCAGGCCAGUUCACUACUGUGUACCGCCACAUGGACUAUUUGGCAGGUUCCUCUGCCAAUGCAGACAUUGCAGGUCGAGCUACAAAGGUUAAGAAAUCAAUGGAAGAUGCCACUUUUGUGGCCUUUUGCCAUUUUAUUACAGAUGUGUUCAGUGGCAUUAGUAAGUUUAGCCUCCUACUUCAAAGAAAUGAUGUCAUCCUACCACAGGUCGUUUGCAGCCUGGAACAACUGCUGGUGACCACAGAGGUAAUGGUUGCAAGACCCAAGCCUCAUGGAAGACUGUCAGAGUUCCUGACUGAUAUGAGGCUGCAGAGGAGGCAGCAGGAUAAAGAGGGUGACAUGGCAGUCUACAAAUUCCAGACAAUAACACUCAAAGGAGAGGCAUCAAAUCUGGCUGAAGAUGGUGUUGCUGCCACUAAACUUAAAAAAGUAAUGGAUGCAACAAUCAAAUCCACUGUGAAAAAUCUGAAAGCAAGAUUCAGUAGUCUCCUAGAGGAGAGUGCUUCUGAGUCAGCCACAACCAAAGCUGUCAAAUGCUUCAACAUUUUCAAUCAUGAUAGCUGGCCAGAGAACAAAGAGGAUUUAGUGGACCAUGGUGCUGAUGACCUUGCUUUUCUCUUGGAUCACUUCUCCACAGUCCUGAGAAGAAAUGGUGUAAAUGCAGAGCUUGCAAAAGAAGAGUUUGUAAGUUUGAAGCUGUUAAUUGCCAAGAUGUUCAAAGACAAGACCUACCUCAGCCUUUGGGAGCUCAUGUUGACCAGAGAGCCGUACUGCUCAGAGUAGAAGAACAUCCUGCAUCUUGUACACAUUAUGCUGGUCCUACCUGUCUCAGCUGCGGUAUGUGAAAGAGGGUUCUCUGCACAGAAGAGAAUUAAAUCAGACACAAGAGCAUCCCUUCAUCCAGAGACAGUGGAUGACCUGAUAAGAAUCAGUGUGGAGGGGCCAAGUCUGGAAGAUUUUGAUGCUAGAGAGAGUGUGGCAAGCUGGUUCACCCAAGGUGAAAGAUCAAGAAGGCCAAAUUACAGGAGCUGGCCAUCUGAGGGGCAUGUGACUGCAAUGGAGGACAGUCCAUAAGAUAACAAGUUGUUCGGAUAUUGAAAUGUUCAGAUUGAAGCCUUUGACACUUUGAGUAACUUUUUAAUUUAGAUGUUUUUUUUAUUUAAUAUAUCUUGAGAUGUUUUAAAUUUCUUUAAUGUUGAAAUUUCAGCUCAGUGAAGAACUUUAAGCACAAGCAUGUUUAAGUAAUCUUUCUUGUAGAACUUUGCUACAAAUAAAGAGCUUUGUGUUGAAAGGUUGUUAGUUAAUCAUUUACAAAUCAAUAUUUACAAAUCAAAAAAACGUGAACAUGUAAAACCGCGGUGUUAAGCAAUGCAGUUAAAAAAUUUGGGUACGCCUAACUUUUGUGCUGGUGCGCCUAAAAAUAAAAUUUAGGCGCACCAGUGCAACCAUGGCAAAAAGUUAGUCUAGAGCCCUGCUUAAGACACAAGUUAUUUAAACAAUUCUAAAUGACAGUGUGAUGGCCAUAGUACUUUAUGUGGGCCAAAUAUGUUAAGGAUAAUGUUUAUCAAUGUAAAAUUGCAAAGAACCUUUGGAUAGAUUAUAACAUCUUGUAAACAGUUACCUCAGAAGCUGUACUGUCAGCCCUAUGUAUGUAAGGUAAAACUUUCCACAGUACUUCCACUUAAGUAAGUAACUAAACACAUAAAGUCACCCUUACCAAUAAUCCACUGCUCCUUGAAAAAAGUAGCACAAACAGACAACUGACUCAGCAAUGAUGAGUAGAGCUACCAGAGGCCGAGACUCAAGCGGAAGAAAAUUAAAAGUUUUGGUUUUUGUGGCUCGAAAAAUUAAAGAAAGUAUGUUUAAUAAUUCAACAAGACCCGC
ensembl:lncRNA